rnacentral:misc_RNA from 1 species
CUAGUCCCAAUCCUCUAAGGAUUUAGACUCCCAAAGAAAAAAUUAAAAGGAAUAAUGUUAUUCUAAAGGCAAUAAGGACUGAAAUUAAGACUCUAAAAUUUAUAUAAAAAAAAAAAAGUCCAAAUGACAUCUAGACAGAUUUUCCAGCAAUGAUGAAAAUUACAAAAAAUUGCCCCUUAGACUUACAUUGUACAUUACUAGAUCAGUAACUACUUUAUUAGGAAUAAACAUAAAUAGAUGACUCUUUAAGAACUAAGAAAUACCGUAUAAUAUUUUUAACAACCUUAUACUAAAUCUGCACCAUACUUCUAAGCUUCUUGAGACCUUAAUCUUAUUUUUCUAGAGCUUCUUGUUGCCUACACAAGAUAUCUGAAAUCCCUUACGCACAAGGUUAUAGCUCCAUCUCAUCUAUAUUUCUACCAGCUAAAUCCUCAGUUCUUUCAAAGGAACUCACCAACACACAAAUUCUAGCCUGUUCCACAAGAUCCACCUAUAGUUACAAAAUUACACGCCUACCAUGCAACACGUCUCACAACUGCACCAUAUAACUCCUAUAGUCCAGCUUCAGAUAUUUAACCUACUGCUGUAAGAAAUUACCUUCUGUGACUGGUCCAACAAACUUCAGCCUUAGGCCCCUCAAAGUAAGACAGGUUGAACGACAUUCAACUCAAAUAGGAUAAUAGGAUAAGCACUCUAAGACAACUUAGUUUUUAUUAUCCUCAAGUAGUUCUCACUGGCUAUUGCUAUGUUGUUGCCUCUGACAUCUAAAUUCCUAGCCCUUCCCAAGGCAGAACUACUUGUAUGUAUUUCUAGUACUUUUCACACAUCAUAUGAUAGAAGAGCUGAUAGAUUGACAAAUGAGCUAAAAUUGAUGAUGCUUUUGUAGAGGAGCAGUGGAGCACAAACAGUGACAUAAAUCUACAAAAUCGAGGCCACCAAGAUUUAGGUUCCUUUCUCUAUUUUUAUUAAGGACAAUGGUGUGGCAUAUAGUCAUGUAACGUUUGUCAGUUGAAACUGGUUUCAUUAAAUCUAACCAGAGCUGAAUGCCCAAAGAAAAAUAUUACCCAACUGACCAAGCCUUUAAUGAAGGUUGGGUCAAUAUUGAUCUAAUCAGUUGGUUGCUUUUAGUUUUUGAAUAGCCCAAUCCACUUCCUAUGCUUUAACUCAAACUAAAUGCAAAGCAUGUCAAAGGCCAUGAUUCAUAUCAAGUCCUCAACCCAACCUGCUUAAAUAAUCCAUAAGCACAACCACUAAUUUUGAGCUUGGUCUUUCUUAAUGAGCAGUAUUAAAGGAUCCAUGAACCUAUCAUCCUUUUCCACUUAAGUUUGUUGACAAGUUCAACCGUUAUAGAUUAAUCACGUUUACUUGAAACCAAGAUACCAUGUAAGUUAUUGUGUUCCCCGGAAA